rnacentral:ncRNA from 1 species
GCAGAGUAAAAGCCUGCGCGUCAAGUGCCGACCCGACGGGGAGUUGCGGGGCGGACGAAGGGCCUUUUGGGCCCGCGGUGCCGGCUUUGCAUCCCGCUGC